rnacentral:rRNA from 1 species
AGUGAGCGCUGGCGGUAGGCCUAACACAUGCGAGUCGAACGGCAGCACAGUAAGAGCUUGCUCUUACGGGUGGCGAGUGGCGGACGGGUGAGGAAUACAUCGGAAUCUACUUUUUCGUGGGGGAUAACGUAGGGAAACUUACGCUAAUACCGCAUACGACCUACGGGUGAAAGCAGGGGAUCUUCGGACCUUGCGCGAUUGAAUGAGCCGAUGUCGGAUUAGCUAGUUGGCGGCGUAAAGGCCCACCAAGGCGACGAUCCGUAGCUGGUCUGAGUGGAUGAUCAGCCACACUGGAACUGAGACACUGUCCACACUCCUACGGGAGGCAGCAGGGGGGAAUAUUGGACAAUGGGCGCAAGCCUGAUCCAGCCAUACCGCGUGGGUGAAGAAGGCCUUCGGGUUGUAUGGCCCUUUUGUUGGGAAAGAAAAGCAGCAGGUUAAUACCCCGCUGUUCUGACGGUACCCAAAGAAUAAGCACCGGCUAACUUCGUG